GGACUACUAGGGUAUCUAAUCCCGUUUGCUCCCCUGGCUUUCGCGCCUCAGCGUCAGUAGAGGGCCAGCGGACCGCUUUCGCCACCGGCGUUCCUUCCGAUAUCAACGCAUUUCACCGCUCCACCGGAAGUUCCGUCCGCCCCUACCUCCCUCGAGCUUCCCAGUAUCGGAGGCACUUUUCCGGUUGAGCCGAAAGAUUUCACCCCCGACUUGAGAAGCCGCCUACGCGCCCUUUAAGCCCAGUGAUUCCGAACAACGUUCGCACGGUUCGUCUUACCGCGGCUGCUGGCAC
rnacentral:rRNA from 3 species